GAUGAAGAACGUAGCGAAAUGCGAUAAGUAAUGCGAAUUGCAGAAUUCAGUGAGUCAUCGAAUCUUUGAACGCACAUUGCGCCCUGUGGUAUUCCGCAGGACAUGCCUGUUCGAGCGUCAUUUCAACCCUCAAGCCCCGCUUGGUGUUGGGCCCCGCCCGCUGUGGCCGGCCCUAAAGACAGUGGCGGCGCCGCCUGGCCCUCAGCGUAGUACAUCUCUCGCUCCAGGGUCCGGUGGCCGCCUGCCAGAACCCCCCAACUCUGUGGUUGACCUCGGAUCAGGUAGGGAUACCCGCUGAACUUAAGCAUAUCAAUAAGCGGAGGA
rnacentral:misc_RNA from 1 species